GUCGAGACUCACCAUGUUUGAACACACCCACGACAAUCUUGACUGUGUGUCCCUUUGGCGAGGAAAACCAACAAUAAAAAGAUAAAUGGAGAGUUUUGUCAUCACCAUUUUGCAGCUGACGGACGUGCUUGUAGAAAGAUUUAAAGCUCAACGGGCAGCUUUGUCAUCAACACUUUGCAGCUGACAGACGUAGAAAGAUUAAAAAG